AGUCCUCUAGUCUCUAUGGAACACAGCAUAGUCCUUUAGUCUCUAUGAGCCACAGCAUAGUCCUCUAGUCUCUAUGGAACACAGCAUAGUCAUUUAGUCUCUAUGGAACACAGCAGAGUCAUUUAGUCUCUAUGGAACACAGCAGAGUCCUUUAGUCUCUAUGGUCCACAGCAGAGUCCUUUAGUCUCUAUGGAACACAGCAUAGUCAUUUAGUCUCUAUGGAACACAGCAUAGUCCUCUAGUCUCUAUGGAACACAGCAGAGUCCUUUAGUCUCUAUGGUCCAGACGGGGAAAGAAACUGUUCAGAUGGACGUCUAUAACAUCCAAUCACAGACUCCCCAGAUGAGGCUCAUGAUUUAUAAGUUAUAUACCUCUUAAUAUGUACAUAUAUUGUCUUUAUUUAAACCAAGGUAGUUUGAGUUAGUAGUGAUGAAGUUGCAACUGUCAGCUGCUGUAAACCUGUGACAGUAUUCAUCGGAGAGCUGAUCUCAGAUCAGUUUAGCUGUUUAGUUUUUUAUAUCAUAACGAUACUGCUGCAAACCUGUGACAGUUUUCAUAGGAGAGCUGAUCUCGGGUCAGUUUAGCUUUUUAUAUCAUAAUGAUUCUGUUGUGAAGUCUGGUUACAGCAGGUGUUUACUGCCAUCUAGUGGAAAAUAUUUUAGUUUUAUUUAACUUUUUUUUUUUACUUGGCCAAUUGUGCGCCACCCUAUGGGACUCCCAAUCAUGCAGCCUGGAUUCUAACCAGGUACUGCAGUGACGCAAGAGGCGAGACUCUGCCCCACUCGGGAGGCGGCUGAGCUGAAACAGAAAGUAAAGCUGUUAUUUUGUACAGGAUCCUUGGGGAGAUGACAGGACCCCCCACUGUGGUAAAGGUUGCUGAGAGAGAUACCAGGACCCCCCCACUGUGGUAAUGGUUUCUGAGAGAGAUACCUGGACCCCCCACUGUGGUAAAGGUUUCUGAGAGAGAUACCUGGACCCCCCACUGUGGUAAAGGUUGCUGAGAGAGAUACCUGGACCCCCCACUGUGGUAAAGGUUUCUGAGAGAGAUACCAGGACCCCCCCCCAACACUGUGGUAAUGGUUGCUGAGAGAGAUACCUGGACCCCCCCCAACACUGUGGUAAUGGUUGCUGAGAGAGAUACCAGGACCCCCCCCCCCAACACUGUGGUAAUGGUUGCUGAUAGAGAUACCUGGACCCCCCACUGUGGUAAAGGUUGCUGAGAGAGAUACCUGGACACGCCUGUCUCACUGCAGUUCCUGAUCCAGAAGAAGAUGGGGUCUCACCAGGUGCGGUGGUGCAGUGUGGCCCUCCUCUGCGUUAGCACAGGAGUGCUAAUAAUAACAGGAGGUUGUCCUCUUGUGGGAAAACUGACAGAGGGAGAGACAUGUCCCAAGCCAAAGGGGACAUCACCGGCCCAGAGUAGUGGCCCAGAAGUAGAUGGUAAUGACAGAAGGAGUCCUGAGCAUAAAGGACUAACACAGGCCUCUAUUAGAGGCCCAGAAGUAGAUGGUAAUGACAGAAGGAGUCCUGAGUCAAAGGGGCCAAUGCAGGCCUGUAGUAGUGGCCCAGAAGUAGAUGGUAAUGACAGAAGGAGUCCUGAGCAAGAAGGACCAACACAGGUCUGUAAUAGUGGCCCAGAAGUAGAUGGUAAUGACAGGAGUCCUGAGAAAGAGGGACCAAUGCAGACCUGUAGUAAUGGCCCAGAAGUAGAUGAUCAUCGUAGAAGGACAGCCCUGCUGGAACCUCACAAACAUGAGGACAAUUUGCUCUUAUCUAAAGCAGAAAUGGUUGCCAACCUGCCCUCCAAAGAAAAGGACUGUUGGGUGUGUGGGAUGGGUCCGGUUAAGGUAGGGGCAGGCUUGCCCCUUAUGGGAGUCCCAAUCGGAGUGAACUUUACUAUAGCAUUGGCAGGAAAAAUACCUUUUUAUACUAUGACCAACAAUGUUAAGGUAUAUAAUCAACCCAAUGUAUCCUAUUACUUGAGGCCUGGUAAUGUCUCAAUCCCGCCCAUUUCAGUGGCUGGGGUGAUGACUGCCCCUUGGUGUAUUAGAGGAUAUGGAGAUCACCAUUUGGGUGAAUUGAAAUGUAAUUGUACUAUGAAUCUUAAUGGAUCAAAUGCUUGCAAUUUAACAGUAAUACAGGAGAAUGGUCAGGCAGAUAAGGAACCAUUUAAAAUGUGGGUUGACAAACAUAGCACAACUCUGAGAGGAGCCCCAAAUGGCACCUAUUGGCUGUGUGGUAAGAUGGCUUACUAUAGCCUGCCCUCGAACUGGGGAGGUACUUGUACUGUUGGGUUUGUGGUGACAGCUAUGAGAACCGUUCCAAAUAAUGAGAGGGAUCUGAUGGCUCUGUUUAGAGACUACAAACUUCCUGGAAUGAGGAGAGAUAACGUCACUCACGCUGAUGUCACUCACGCUCAGAUACCUGCCUCCAGGUUCUUUGGUGUGUUUUUCUCUGGGUAUGGAGUUGUAUGUGCCCUAGACCAAAUCCAUGACAUCUCUAGACACAUAGAGAACAUUGGCAAUGCUAGUAGAAAUGCCCUGGAACAAUUGAAUGGGGAACUAAAAAAAUUGCUUAAGUUAGCUCUGCAAAACAAAGAGACUCUUGAUUAUCUUCUGGCAGGUCAAGGGGGCACUUGUGCAAUCAUUGGGGAUGACUGUUUUAUUUUUGUUCUCCCAGAUCACUCUUCUAAUGUGACUGAUCUUGCAGAAUAUAUUGCCACUGCGGCUUAGAAAAAUCCCCCCAAACCAGAGUGGAUGCUUGCAACUUGGUUGGGAUCCCUGUUUGGAAGUUGGGUUGCAGCGGUGGCUGGGCUGCAGCGUGUGUUUUAUGCUUGGCUCUCCAGAGGGUGGUGAAGUCUGCACAACGCAUCACCAGGGGCAAACUACCUGUCCUCCAGGACACCUACACCACUCCAGGACACCUACACCACCUCCAGGACACCUACACCACAGGAAGGCCAUAAAGAUCAUCAAGGACAACAACGACCCGAGCCACUGCCUGUUCACCCCGCUAUCAUCCAGAAGGCGAGGUCAGUACAGGUGCAUCAAAGCAGGGACCGAGAGACUGAAAAACAGCUUCUAUCUCAAGGCCAUCAGACUGUUAAACAGCCACCACUAACAUUGAGUGGCUGCUGCCAACACACUGACUCAACUACAGCCAAUUUAAUAAUGGGAAUUGAUGGGAAUUGAUGUAAAAUAUAUCACUAGCCACUUUAAACAAUGCGCUUUAAUAUAAUGUUUACAUACCCUUCAUUACUCAUCUCAUAUGUAUACGUAUAUACUGUACUCUAUAUCAUCUACUGCAUCUUUAUGUAAACAUGUAUCACUAGCCACUUUAACUAUGCCACUUUGUUUAUAUACUCAUCUCAUAUGUAUAUACUGUGCUCGAUACCAUCUACUGCAUCUUGCCUAUGCCGCUCUGUACCAUCACUCAUUCAUAUAUCUUUAUGUACAUAUUCUUUAUCCCUUUACACUUGUGUGUUUAAGGUAGUAGUUUUGGAAUUGUUAGUUAGAUUACUCGUUGGUUAUUACUGCAUUGUCGGAACUAGAAGCACAAGCAUUUUGCUCCACUCGCAUUAAUAUCUGCUAACCAUGUGUAUGUGACAAAUAAAUUUGAUUUGAUUUGA